GAAGCAGUAGCUCAGUGGUAGCGCCCCCGUUUCAAGUGCGGGGAGACCUGGGUUCGAUUCCCGGAUGAUUCC
rnacentral:tRNA from 1 species